rnacentral:misc_RNA from 1 species
AGUUUAUAGAUGCGUUACAUCAAAUGACAUUCGAAUUUAUAUUAUUAGAGUUUAUGUAUUAGCAGACGGACCUCGCCCCCUAGGGGACUACUAUCCGUCUCACAAGUUCACAGGUGUGUGUGGAUGAAUAGAGAAGGCGUGCACAUGCCCCGGUAAAGGGGCCAGCGACAACCGACUCCAUGUUCAUUCAAUAAUGAUCCUUCCGCAGGUUCACCUACGGAAA